AAUGAACGUUGGCGGCGUGGAUUAGGCAUGCAAGUCGAGCGGGUGUAGCAAUACAACGGCAAGUGGCGAAAGGGAGAGUAACGCGUAGAUACCUACCCUCUGGUCGGGGAUACCGCGGCAUAACCGCAAGUAAUACCCGAUAAUAUCGCCGGAUCAAAGGUGUGUUUCCGCCGGAGGAGGGGUCUGCGUUUCAUCAGCUUGUUGGUGAGGUAACGGCUCACCAAGGCUAAGACGAAUACGGGGUGUGAGAGCAUGCCCCCGCUCACUGGGACUGAGACACUGCCCAGACACCUACGGGUGGCUGCAGUCGAGAAUCUUCGGCAAUGGGCGCAAGCCUGACCGAGCGACGCCGCGUGCGGGAUGAAGGCCUUCGGGUUGUAAACCGCUGUCGAGGGGGAUAAAGUGCAGGUGGGUUCUCCCAUUUGUUUGAUAGAUCCCUGGAGGAAGCAUGGGCUAAGUUCGUGCCAGCCGCCGCGGUAAUAC
rnacentral:rRNA from 1 species